CAGCUGCGAGAUUUGGUGUGAAUUGCAGGACACAUUGAGCACUGAUUUUUCGAACGCACAUUGCGGCCUCGGGUUCCGCCCGGGGCCUCGCCUGUCUGAGGGUCGGAUAAGACUUGCAAAGGAAAAUUCGUUUUCCAAUUGGCCGCGUCGGAGUCCCCGUCCAGGGGGCUUCGUCGGCUCAAGUGCACUCAGGAUCCUCCCCGGUCGAGAGAGCACAAGCCCUAGAGCAAUGCUCGUCGCUCGGAGAAGACGGACCACGUUUCUCCACCGAAGACGAGACGGUUUGUCGCUGAGAAGACCGAAUAAGGGGCAGAGAGCCUGUCGGAGAAUUCUCUCCGAAACAUUUUUUAACUUUGACGACCUCAGAUCAGACGAGAUAACCCGCUGAAUUUAA
rnacentral:rRNA from 1 species